rnacentral:rRNA from 1 species
UACGUAGGGCGCAAGCGUUGUCCGGAAUUAUUGGGCGUAAAGAGCUCGUAGGCGGCCAGUUGCGUCUGCUGUGAAAUCCCGGGGCUCAACCCUGGGCGUGCAGUGGAUACGGGCAGGCUGGAGGCAGGCAGGGGAGAACGGAAUUCCCGGUGUAGCGGUGAAAUGCGCAGAUAUCGGGAGGAACACCGGUGGCGAAGGCGGUUCUCUGGGCCUGUGCUGACGCUGAGGAGCGAAAGCGUGGGGAGCGAACAGG